CCCUCCGGCAGAGAAUAGGCGCGGAGCGUAUCUAUUGUGAACGGACGGGACUGUUGUGCGGAGAGUUGGUGCUCACCCUAGCUAGGAGGGCGCAUGGUUCGGUGGCUGGUUGUACCGUCGCAGAGAGGUUCGGCGCCGGUGCGACUACGGCCGGUUCUAGCCGCCGGCCCGGAGGAGGCGCGCUGGCAGCAGCGUGCAGCGGGCCCGCAAGCCGCAGCUGCGACCGCGGUCCUAGUGGACGAGGGACGUCAGGCUGUAGUCCCUCCAGCGUUCGUUCACGCGGCUGCGGCGGUUCUACCGGCCGAAGCGGGAGCGGUGGAGACGGGAGGAGCAGAGGCCGCGCUCGCGCCUCCCCCGCGGGUUCUCCGACUGGAAGCUGCUCUAGGUCUCGUUCUGGAUGUACCUCCGGCCGUUCAUGCUCUACUUCUUCAAGACGGACCUCGGGUGGAGGAAGUGGCAGUUCCGGCUCCCGUAGGUCUUCUUGCUCGGCGGCCGGAAGGUCUUCUGGUUCGAGUACUGGGCAGAGUGGAUGUGGGAACUGCUCUACCUUCCGGGCGAGCUCCAGCCGCGGCUGCCGUGGGAGUUCAAGCUCCUCUUCCUGCCGUAGCUGAUGCGCCGGCAGUGGCACGUCGAGGGGCCUCCGCUCGCGCACGGGAAGGAGAAGUGGCAGUUCGUCGAGCAGCGGUGGCCGUUCGGGCUCUCGAAGUCGCCCGGGAAGGAGCACGGGUCGAUGUCCCCAAGCAGAAAGGAGCUGGGUUUCCCGGCACCACCGAGAUGACCGAUGCUGUUGCGGCACCGCGAUGGGCGGCCUCCGUCUCCUCUGCUCCUCCUCAACCGGUUCCUCUUGCACUUCUUGCGCAGGAGGAGGUGCCCGUUGUAGUGCGAGUCGCAGUGGUUCUCGUUCGGCCUCUGGCCGCUCCACUAGCCGCAGAAGCUCUCGCACGUCGGCAGUCUGUGGCUGGAGCCGCGGUUCCGCGGGUUCCUACAGUUCUAGGUCCCACACACCAUGCGCGUCGAGCUCAGAUUGAUCUCGUCUCGUCUUCACUUCUAUGAGUAGAACACACGUACGCAUGCACCCAACUAGCCACCUCUCCUUUGUUAGCUCCGUUGUUACACACAAACACACACAUAGAUCAUUAGAUUUGGGUCCCACAGCCAAAUAUAAAAUCGAAGACAAUAACAAAGAAGGAGCGGAUGAGUACUAUAACUAGGGGGUACUUACAAGUGUUUUAACAGACACCUGUGAAAGAAGCAAAAUGGAAGGAAAACUAAACUUAACAGACCUUUAAAAUGUCAUACAUAAUAUUUAAUUGUCCAUUUAUUAAAUCUUGGUAC
rnacentral:rRNA from 1 species